rnacentral:rRNA from 1 species
GUGGGGAAUUUUGGACAAUGGGCGCAAGCCUGAUCCAGCAAUGCCGCGUGCAGGAAGAAGGCCUUCGGGUUGUAAACUGCUUUUGUCAGGGAAGAAAUCUUCUGGGCUAAUACCCCGGGAGGAUGACGGUACCUGAAGAAUAAGCACCGGCUAACUACGUGCCAGCAGCCGCGGUAAUACGUAGGGUGCGAGCGUUAAUCGGAAUUACUGGGCGUAAAGCGUGCGCAGGCGGUUAUGUAAGACAGAUGUGAAAUCCCCGGGCUCAACCUGGGAACUGCAGUUGUGACUGCAUGACUGGAGUGCGGCAGAGGGGGAUGGAAUUCCGCGUGUAGCAGUGAAAUGCGUAGAUAUGCGGAGGAACACCGAUGGCGAAGGCAAUCCCCUGGGCCUGCACUGACGCUCAUGCACGAAAGCGUGGGGAGCAAACAGGAUUAGAAACCCUUGUAGUCC